rnacentral:rRNA from 1 species
UCCCGCAUACGUCCGGCAGGCAUACGUCUGCUGGGGAAAGAUGGCCUCUGCUUGCAAGCUAUCGCUCCUAGAUGGGCCCGCGUUAGAUUAGCUUGUUGGUGAGGUAAUGGCUCACCAAGGCUGCGAUCUAUAGCUGGUUUGAGAGGACGACCAGCCACACUGGAACUGAGACACGGUCCAGACUCCUACGGGAGGCAGCAGUGAGGAAUAUUGCGCAAUGGGGGAAACCCUGACGCAGCGACGCCGUGUGAGCGAUGAAGGCCUUCGGGUCGUAAAGCUCUGUCAGAGGGGAAGAAAGGGGAUAUGGUUAAUACCCAUGUCCAUUGACGGUACCCUUUGAGGAAGCACCGGCUAACUCCGUGCCAGCAGCCGCGGUAAUACGGAGGGUGCGAGUGUUAUUCGGAAUCACUGGGCGUAAAGAGCACGUAGGCGGAUCGGUAAGUCAGAUGUGAAAUCCCGGAGCUCAACUCCGGAACUGCAUUUGAUACUGCCAGUCUUGAG